rnacentral:rRNA from 1 species
UACAGAGGGUGCGAGCGUUUAAUCGGAAUUACUGGGCGUAAAGCGCACGUAGGCGGCUUCUUAAGUCAGGGGUGAAAUCCUGGAGCUCAACUCCAGAACUGCCUUUGAUACUGGGAGGCUCGAGUCCGGAAGAGGUGAGUGGAACUGCGAGUGUAGAGGUGAAAUUCGUAGAUAUUCGCAAGAACACCAGUGGCGAAGGCGGCUCACUGGUCCGGUACUGACGCUGAGGUGCGAAAGCGUGGGGAGCAAACAGGG